rnacentral:rRNA from 1 species
UGGCUCAGAACGAACGCUGGCGGCGUGCCNCAGACAUGCAAGUCGAACGCGAAAGUUUCCUUCGGGAGAUGAGUAGAGUGGCGCACGGGUGAGUAACACGUAGGUAAUCUACCUUCGGGUGGGGAAUAACCCAGGGAAACUUGGGCUAAUACCGCAUAAUGCAGCGGCACCUAAUGGUGACAGUUGUUAAAGCGGGGGAUCGCAAGACCUCGCGUCUGAAGAGGAGCCUGCGGCGGAUUAGCUAGUUGGUAAGGUAAUGGCUUACCAAGGCGAUGAUCCGUAGCCGGCCUGAGAGGGCGGUCGGCCACACUGACACUGACAUACGGGUCAGACUCCUACGGGAGGCAGCAGU